rnacentral:rRNA from 1 species
CAGCAGUUCAAGUCGUAUUCCUUUUUAUUGGGUCUAAAACAUCCGUAGCUUGCCGUUUAAGUCUCUUGUGAAAUCCUACGUCUCAAGCGUAGGGCUUGCAGGAGAUACUGAGCGGCUAGAGAUCGGUAGACGUAAGGAGUACGCCGGAGGUAGUGGUAAAAUACGUUAAUCUUCGGUGGACUAACAAUGAGCGAAGGCACCUUACGAGGACGAAUCUGACAGUGAGGGACGAAGGCCAGGGGAGCGAACCGGAUUAGAUACCCGAGUAGUCC